UACGUAGGGUGCGAGCGUUAAUCGGAAUUACUGGGCGUAAAGCGUGCGCAGGCGGUUUUGUAAGUCAGAGGUGAAAUCCCCGGGCUCAACCUGGGAACUGCCUUUGUGACUGCAAGGCUUGAGUGCGGCAGAGGGGGAUGGAAUUCCGCGUGUAGCAGUGAAAUGCGUAGAUAUGCGGAGGAACACCGAUGGCGAAGGCAAUCCCCUGGGCCUGCACUGACGCUCAUGCACGAAAGCGUGGGGAGCAAACAGG
rnacentral:rRNA from 1 species